rnacentral:lncRNA from 1 species
CUCUUAUCAUCUCUAGGGGCAAUUUUUUUGUGCAGUUUUAAACAGAAAAACAAAGUCAUGAAGGUUUGUUUGUUUGUUUUUCUUGUUUUAGAAGCCCUACAGCAGCAGGACCUAGCUUACUAGCUUCUGAUCCAACUUCUUUACCUACAAACCACAGGCAAAUACCAAGGCCCUGAGGUAAGAAAAAAAAAAAAAAAAAAACAGAGCAUCUAAGUAGCCAAAGAUGAGAGGUGAUGAGCAAAAAAUUGGUAGAUUAUGGCAGCAGAUCCUGAUGGGGCACCUCUUUGAGGAUCCUGAAUUUAGUAUCUAUUUCUUUUGAAUGUUACAUUUACCUUUGACUAUGCUAAUCUUGUCUGUCUUCACAGAGUAUGCCAGCUGUUCUCCAGGGGAAAAUGACAGACAUCACAAAAGCAUGUUGCAGACCUGCCAUACCACCUCAGCUCUCAUGUCCCGAUCUCGGUGUCUGAAGAAUACACUCACAAUGUGUCAAGGACUUCAAGUUCAGGGGACUCUAAAAAUUGUAAUCUAAUUUAGAGUCCACUCCCAAAUGAUGCAUCC